UUCAAAAAUUAAUUCUUCUAAUAUUCCAAGCAAGUUGAAGGCCCUAAUCAACAUAGAGAGAUUUUUGGAACAAGAAGACUAUUCAUUCUUGCAAGGCACAAUUCUAGCAAGUUGAAGAACUAAGUGGAAAAGAUUUUGGAAAGGCCAAGAGUUAGGUGGGGUGACUAAGGAAGCGGACAAGGUACACCCAGACAAGUAGAAGUUACCAUAGAAGAUGUUGCAGCAGGGUUAGCAACUCCACUUGUUCCUGGAGUGCUGCCGAGUCAGAGUAUAUGUGCUAUGAUGUUUCAUUCGAAGUUAGAGACUUUGCAGACAGAGUCGUGGGUAUAGAGUGUCAGCUUUGUAAGCGGCGUCAC